UACAGAGGGUGCGAGCGUUAAUCGGAAUUACUGGGCGUAAAGGGCGCGUAGGUGGUUAUGUAAGAUUGAUGUGAAAUCCCUGGGCUUAACCUAGGAACUGCAUCGAUGACUGCAUAGCUGGAGUACUGUAGAGGGUAGUAGAAUUUCCGGUGUAGCGGUGAAAUGCGUAGAGAUCGGAAGGAAUACCAGUGGCGAAGGCGGCUACCUGGACAGAUACUGACACUGAGGCGCGAGAGCGUGGGGAGCAAACAGG
rnacentral:rRNA from 1 species